UACGUAGGGUCCAAGCGUUAUCCGGAAUCACUGGGCGUAAAGCGUUUGUAGGCGGAAAUUUAAGUGUGAUGCGAAAUCUUGUGGCUCAACCAUAUAGACGGUAUCUCAUACUGGGUGUCUAGAAGAUAGCAGAGGUAAGUGGAAUUAGUAGUGUAGCGGUAAAAUGCGUAGAUAUUACUAGGAACACCAAUGGCGAAGGCAGCUUACUGGGCUAUAUUUGACGCUGAGAAACGAAAGCGUGGGGAGCGAACAGG
rnacentral:rRNA from 1 species